CCGGAAUUGGGUUCGCUGUCGCGUUCAAACUGAUCUGGAAAGGAUACUUGACAUACCCCAGACUAAUUCUUAGAACACUCCCUUGCACAUAGCCUCCGUGGAUACUUGUGGGAUGGAGAGCUUGCCGGCUUCAUUUAAAAAUAACCCUCCAGCACACCCUUCUGUGGGUCAUCGGAAGGCUAACGGAACAGAGAUGAGAAGAUACCAAGGCUGGCAGUCCAACAGGCACAGGAACAUGUGCUUUCGGUAGCUUAGGAAGCAGCCCCCACAUGUACCAUUUGCCAGGGUGGGUCAGAGAAAGCCUCACCUAUCAAGUGCUAUUUGAGAUGACAUAAUAGAACGCAAGUGGCACGGAAUAACAUUUCCCACGCUAUCCCUGAAAUCUUCCCAUCUGUCCUUGCCUCUGUUUUGCCACUGAAAUGUCCCUGGUUUAACCCUUUAUCUUCCCACCUAUUAAAGUAGCCCUUAAGUGGUCACCAGA